rnacentral:rRNA from 1 species
AGCCCAAUAGCUAGCUAACAACACAAACACAACAAGCUAAACAUCAAUAACCAUGAACAUAGAC